UUUGAAUUUCGAGUAUGUUUUUAAUAUUUUAAUAUUUUCUGUUAGGAUAUUUUAAAUAUUUUAUUAUUUAUAUUUGCUUUGUGGGACCCAUAGAUCCCAAAACUCCCCACUCUCUCUUUGCCACGUUUUCUCUCUUCUCCACCAUAAACUGGGAGUCUCUCUCUCUACCACUCUCAUCUCUCCUAACUUUCUCCCUCUGCAAACUGUGGCGCCAACUGACACGCCCUCACCGCUUUGACGAGCUCCACCACCAC
rnacentral:lncRNA from 1 species